CAAAAUGUAGUUUAAUAAAAUCAUCUCGCUUACACCGAGAAAAUGUUUGUGCAAUCCAAACCGUUUUGAG
rnacentral:tRNA from 1 species